CCUGGCGGCAGUAGCGCGGUGGUCCCACCUGACCCCAUGCCGAACUCAGAAGUGAAACGCCGUAGCGCCGAUGGUAGUGUGGGGUCUCCCCAUGCGAG
rnacentral:rRNA from 1 species